AUUGAACGCUGGCGGCAUGCCUUACACAUGCAAGUCGAACGGUAACGCGGGGCAACCUGGCGACGAGUGGCGAACGGGUGAGUAAUGUAUCGGAACGUGCCCAGUUGUGGAGGAUAACUGCUCGAAAGAGCAGCUAAUACCGCAUACGACCUGAGGGUGAAAGCGGGGGAUCGCAAGACCUCGCGCAAUUGGAGCGGCCGAUAUCAGAUUAGGUAGUUGGUGGGGUAAAGGCCCACCAAGCCAACGAUCUGUAGCUGGUCUGAGAGGACGACCAGCCACACUGGGACGGAGACACGGCCCAGACUCCUACGGGAGGCAGCAGUGGGGAAUUUUGGACAAUGGGCGCAAGCCUGAUCCAGCCAUGCCGCGUGCGGGAAGAAGGCCUUCGGGUUGUAAACCGCUUUUGUCAGGGAAGAAACGCUCUGGGUUAAUACCUCGGGGUAAUGACGGUACCUGAAGAAUAAGCACCGGCUAACUACGUGCCAGCAGCCGCGGUAAGAC
rnacentral:rRNA from 1 species